rfam:Sporosarcina newyorkensis 2681 genomic scaffold SCAFFOLD2, whole genome shotgun sequence.
CCCGUGCUACAACCGCACUGAUCAGGUACAAGCAUUCGAGAGCGAAUCACCUGUGAAGGCGAGUCUGAGUAAAUAG